AACGAACGUUAGCGGCGCGCCUAACACAUGCAAGUCGAGCGAGAAAGGGCUUCGGCCCCGGUACAGCGGCGCACGGGUGAGUAACACGUAGGUAAUCUACCCCCAGGUGGUGGAUAACCUUCCGAAAGGAGGGCUAAUACAGCAUGAGACCACGACUCCGAAAGGGGAUGAGGUCAAAGCCGGCCUCUUCAUGAAAGCUGGCGCCAGGGGAUGAGCCUGCGGCCCAUCAGCUAGUUGGUAGGGUAACGGCCUACCAAGGCGAAGACGGGUAGCUGGUCUGAGAGGAUGAUCAGCCACACUGGAACUGAGACACGGUCCAGACUCCUACGGGAGGCAGCAGUGGGGAAUCUUGCGCAAUGGGCGAAAGCCUGACGCAGCGACGCCGCGUGAGUGAUGAAGGCCCUCGGGUUGUAAAGCUCUGUGGAGGGGGACGAAUAAGGGUUGGCUAAUAUCCAGCUCGAUGACGGUACCCCUUUAGCAAGCACCGGCUAACUCUGUGCCAGCCGCCGCCGUAACAC
rnacentral:rRNA from 1 species